CGAGAGCGCGAACGGCUUUGUUAUUCACAAUAACACAGUACACAUUAUUGGGAAUACAAUCUGUUUAUGUGGCGACGUAAAAUAUUACAUCGAGCACGAUAAUUUUUGCAAAUGUUAUGAUACAAAAUAAGCGCGUAGAGAAACGAAAUAAGUAUAAAUGCGAAUCUAAAUGGGACUGUUUUUCACGCGUGCGAACUUAGCACCUCUCUCACGUGUGGCUUGACAGACAAGGAUAUUACGAACGCUUUUUCGACGUAUAAAUCGCACUUUUUACGAUCUAUAUUAUUUCGAUUACGAUCAUACGCCAUGUAUCAUAUGAACCAUGUUUACGAACACUUGUUGCAAGAGCGCGCUAACGUUAAUUAUAUCGUGGAUGAAGACAUAAAUACGGUUAACGACGUGGAUGCGAAGAGCCGAUCGUUAUCGGAGAAACGAUGGCGGAACAUUUAACGAGGAACAAAAUCGACAUGAUCCUUCGGGCAAUAUCUUUAAAAUCGUGUAAUGGGUUUACACGCAUAGCGAAUUUUAUGAAGCGAUGAUUGCCGAUUGCCAAAACCAAUUGGCGAUUCAGCAGUUGCUACCGCAUCAAAAGUACCGGCGGCCAACGACUUCCUAUCGCUAUACUUUCACGGAAGACAUAUUGGAGGACUUCACUGCGAGGGAGGAAAUAUGUUCUACGAUCGUUACCAAGGAAACAGGGUACGGCAUGGUUUUUAUUGGGAAGUAAAAGAAACCAUGCGUAAGUCUUUGUCAUGAGUUACUGUUAAGCGACUGGCUUUGAGCGAUAAUUCGAGAUAUCGCUACCGAUAUUUGUUGUCUCCGAUUGCUUUUUAAUGUUUAUUCCUAAUAUUAGCAAAUUUGCAAAUAUUUCAUUCUUUCUUGAUUAAUCUUACAACAUAAAAAUAUUUUACAUAUAUCGAACAAUACAUUAUUAUCUCGUCUUAAUGUCGCAUCUUGAAUAAGGAAAAUAAAUAUAUAAUAUUAAUAAAAUACUUAAAUCUGUUUUCCAUAAGCACUCUUGGUCUAAUUUAUAAUUUUUUCCUUAAUAAAGAUCGAGAUAAU